GGCGUAAGACGCAUGCAGUGGUUGUUAAGUCAGAUGUGAAAGCCCGGGGCUCAACCUCGGAAUUGCAUUUGAAACUGGCAAACUAGAGUACUGUAGAGGGGGUAGAAUUUCAGGUGUAGCGGUGAAAAUGCGUAGAGAUCUGAAGGAAUACCGGUGGCGAAGGCGGCCCCCUGGACAGAUACUGACACUCAGAUGCGAAAGCGUGGGGAGCAAACAGGAUUAGAUACCCUGGUAG
rnacentral:rRNA from 1 species